AAGUCUUAGUAUAUCAAUGGCUUGUCAAACAGAAGCUAUUAAAUGCUUGUAGAGAGUACACUGAGGAAGUCUGUCACAGUAGAAAAUGCAGGGUCCUAUUGGUGGCAGUGCACCACAUGUGGUCAGAAGAAACCAGAGCAUGAAGGUUGAAGGCUUCUGUCUUACUUCUGGGAGACAGAAAUAUAUUAAUGUAAGGUUUAGAGAUGGAUGCCAGCAAGAACAGAAGAGUUUUAAAGCAUUUUAAGUAAUUAAAAACUGGCACAGGAAUGUUUUAUAGAAAGGAAUUGUAGGGACUCUACUUAGCUAGGGUGAUGGUUGCUUUUUCUUGGAGUGCAGUGUGGCAGUUGGAAUCAUACUAAAGAAUAUGCUAGUCGGCAUCUCUGCAGUUUCCCACCUCCACCAAAUAUUUUCCAUUGCAGAGUCUGCAAAUAGCAUAAAAAUUGCUUAACCAAGUUUAACAGUAUCUCUAGGAAUUCAGCCUGGAAAAUAGACUUGGUUUUUAAGCAGACGCUAAUUUUAAUAGUGAAUAUGUUGUUUUAAAAAAGAAAGCAUGGUAGUAAAUGUUUUUAAAUCUCACCGCCCUGGGAGGCAGAGACAGAUGGAGCCUGGUCUGAGUAGUGAGUUCCAGGACACCAGAGGUACAAAGUGAAACGCUCUCUCAAAAAAAAACAAAAACACCUUGAAUUUCAUCUUGUUCGUGUUCUUAUUCACUUUCUGUAAUGUUUUAGCAAUAAUGUAUUCAGAAGUCCCAUACUUGUAAGGGCGUGGCUUGAAUUACAGGAUAUAGAGAUCCUGGGAAACAAGAUAGUAACACUCUUCAAAAUAGCUUAACAGGCAAGCAACCAGCAACCUUUGUCUCUGCCGCAUAGUCUUCACCACUGCAGCUUGCUGUUGUUGUUUUUUCAAAUAAGGUCUCCGGUUGUGUGGCCCUGCUGGCUUGCAAUUGACUCUCUAGACCAGGCUAGCCUAGAACCCACCGAAGUUUGCCCACCUUUGCCUGAGUGCCAUGAUUAAGGGUGUACUCUACAACAUCAUUGUAUUUCUAAAAUAUAAGAGCCAAACUUGGAGCUAGAACUAUGGCUUAGUGGUUAAGAACCCUAGAUGUUCUUCCAGAGGACGCUGUUCUAUCCCCAGUACACACUUAGAGGUUUAUUCCAAUUGUAUGGGAUGUUGAUACCUUCUUCUGGCUUUCUUGGGCACUGCAUAUACAUGGUUCAUAGAUAUUCAGGCAAAAAUACUCAUAU
rnacentral:lncRNA from 1 species